rnacentral:rRNA from 1 species
UGGCUCAGGACGAACGCUGGCGGCGUGCCUAAUACAUGCAAGUCGAACGCUUCUUUUUCCACCGGAGCUUGCUCCACCGGAAAAAGAGGAGUGGCGAACGGGUGAGUAACACGUGGGUAACCUGCCCAUCAGAAGGGGAUAACACUUGGAAACAGGUGCUAAUACCGUAUAACAAUCGAAACCGCAUGGUUUUGAUUUGAAAGGCGCUUUCGGGUGUCGCUGAUGGAUGGACCCGCGGUGCAUUAGCUAGUUGGUGAGGUAACGGCUCACCAAGGCGACGAUGCAUAGCCGACCUGAGAGGGUGAUCGGCCACAUUGGGACUGAGACACGGCCCAAACUCCUACGGGAGGCAGCAGUAGGGAAUCUUCGGCAAUGGACGAAAGUCUGACCGAGCAACGCCGCGUGAGUGAAGAAGGUUUUCGGAUCGUAAAACUCUGUUGUUAGAGAAGAACAAGGAUGAGAGUAACUGUUCAUCCCUUGACGGUAUCUAACCAGAAAGCCACGGCUAACUACGUGCCAGCAGCCGCGGUAAUACGUAGGUGGCAAGCGUUGUCCGGAUUUAUUGGGCGUAAAGCGAGCGCAGGCGGUUUCUUAAGUCUGAUGUGAAAGCCCCCGGCUCAACCGGGGAGGGUCAUUGGAAACUGGGAGACUUGAGUGCAGAAGAGGAGAGUGGAAUUCCAUGUGUAGCGGUGAAAUGCGUAGAUAUAUGGAGGAACACCAGUGGCGAAGGCGGCUCUCCUGGUCUGUAACUGACGCUGAGGCUCGAAAGCGUGGGGAGCAAACAGGAUUAGAUACCCUGGUAGUCCACGCCGUAAACGAUGAGUGCUAAGUGUUGGAGGGUUUCCGCCCUUCAGUGCUGCAGCUAACGCAUUAAGCACUCCGCCUGGGGAGUACGACCGCAAGGUUGAAACUCAAAGGAAUUGACGGGGGCCCGCACAAGCGGUGGAGCAUGUGGUUUAAUUCGAAGCAACGCGAAGAACCUUACCAGGUCUUGACAUCCUUUGACCACUCUAGAGAUAGAGCUUCCCCUUCGGGGGCAAAGUGACAGGUGGUGCAUGGUUGUCGUCAGCUCGUGUCGUGAGAUGUUGGGUUAAGUCCCGCAACGAGCGCAACCCUUAUUGUUAGUUGCCAUCAUUUAGUUGGGCACUCUAGCAAGACUGCCGGUGACAAACCGGAGGAAGGUGGGGAUGACGUCAAAUCAUCAUGCCCCUUAUGACCUGGGCUACACACGUGCUACAAUGGGAAGUACAACGAGUCGCAAAGUCGCGAGGCUAAGCUAAUCUCUUAAAGCUUCUCUCAGUUCGGAUUGUAGGCUGCAACUCGCCUACAUGAAGCCGGAAUCGCUAGUAAUCGCGGAUCAGCACGCCGCGGUGAAUACGUUCCCGGGCCUUGUACACACCGCCCGUCACACCACGAGAGUUUGUAACACCCGAAGUCGGUGAGGUAACCUUUUGGAGCCAGCCGCCUAAGGUGGGAUAGAUGAUUGGGGUGAAGUCGUAACAAGGUAACCAGG